rnacentral:lncRNA from 1 species
GGUCCCAUUCUGAGGUUUCCUUUUGACUUCCAGGAACGGAAAUGAGGAAGUAGGAAGAAGAUACCACAGCUUAGCGCGUUUCGGUGGGAGUACAUCAGCGCAAACGGACCUCAGAAACUGCCGUACCCCCUGAUGGUGCUGGACCGGUGACUUUGUGUCUAGGAAAUAUUCAGUAAUUUCGUUUUCUGUGGGUUUUUUUUUUUAAUUCUUUCUUCCUUUUUUCCCCCCCUUUAAGGUGUGUUUCUGUUGCUAUGCUGCCUAGACUGGCACCCAACACCGAGCCUUAAGUGGCUCUGCGGCUCAACCUUCUGAGUUCUGGAGGAUGGUGCUAGCUGCCAGGCCGUCCAGGGUCCCCUGUGUACACGUGGGGGUGAGAAGAUCUUCCAAAGCCGGUCCUGAGUCCUGACCUUUCACUUUUUUUGAGGCAGGGUUUCUCUGGUUUCCGCCGCUGUGCUGUGUACUUCGGAUUAGCUGGCUGAGUGUUUCUGGAAGAUUCUCUUCCCUCUGUCUUCCAGUUCACCGUAGGGAUGUUGGGACGACAGAUGUCCACCACACCACCACCACAUCAAAUGUGCGUCAUGGAGAUUGCGGGGAGAUGAGCAACCUUUCUCCCCGGCCUUUAUUUGAGGAGAGGUCUCAUGCCUCAUGGCUCGGCACUGAACUGUGUAGUCCAGGAUGACCUGGACUCUGGGGUCCUCCUGUGCCUCCCUCCAGGUCCUCAGAGUGCAUGUGUGAGCCACUGGGUUAAUGUACCACUACAAUGGCUCCUGCCUGGUAGGUGCGCCUCAAUCUCUGAGCCCCAUAUUCAUAACCUUGACCUACCUUUAUGGGAUAUUAGUGUCAUAUCACAGAUAAAUUGUUGUAGACACCAGGUUUACUGCCAUGUAAUAAUAUACAUAAUAUCUUAUCAAGAGAAGACCUAUUUUUAGAAGGAACCCUGAUUUGAAGAAAAGUGUGUGUGUGUCAUUAAUAAAUAAAUAAAUAAAUAAAUAAAUAAAUAAAGGGGCUGAACAAAUAUACUAUGAAAUGUUAAUAGUAUUCAUUUUUUUGGCAAGAGACAAUCUAUAUUUUUCUCUUUAGAAUUUCUACGUUUUUAGCCAGGCAGUGGUGGCCAUGCCUUUAGAUGCAGC